rnacentral:rRNA from 1 species
UUACCUUGGUUGAUCCUGCCAGUAGUCAUAUGCUUGUCUCAAAGAUUAAGCCAUGCAUGUGUAAGUAUAAGUAUUAUACGGCGAAACUGCGAAUGGCUCAUUAAAUCAGUUAUAAUUUAUUUGAUAAUCGAAAGUUACAUGGAUAACCGUGACAAAUUACAGCUAAUACAUGCAGUCAGACCCGGUCCAAAGGUCGUAAUUAUUAGUAUUAAACCAAUUCCUUCGGGAGUGUGAUGAAUCAUAGUAAUCGAACGAAUCGCUAAUCUUGCGAUAAAUCAUUCAAGUUUCUGCCCUAUCAGCUUUGGAUGGUAGUGUAUUGGACUACCAUGGCAGUCACGGGUAACGGAGAAUUAGGGUUCGAUUCCGGAGAGGGAGCCUGAGAAACGGCUACCACAUCUACGGAAGGCAGCAGGCGCGAAAAUUGCCCAAUCCUGACACAGGGAGGCAGUGACAAGAAAUAACAACUCUCGGUUUCCGAGAAGUGUAAUGAGGAUAAUUUACAAACCUUACCGAAAGCAAUUGGAGGGCAAGUCUGGUGCCAGCAGCCGCGGUAAUUCCAGCUCCAAUAGCGUAUAUUAAAGUUGUUGCAGUUAAAAAGCUCGUAGUUGAAAUUCUGAUUGUAUUGGGCCUCAGCACUUGAUGCGUAGGUACCAGCAGUCAUCCGCUUGCAAACAUAUGUUCUUCCUUAAACAGAAGACUAUGUGAGUAAGCAUUUUACCUUGAGAAAAACAGAGUGUUCCAGGCAGGUUUGUCCGGAAUGCAUUAGCAUGGAAUAAUAGAAUAUGACUGAAGUCUAUUUAUUGGUUUGAGACUUUAGUAAUGAUUAAUAGGAACAAUCGGGGGCAUUGGUACUUGUCAGUCAGAGUGAAUCCAGAUAGGACUAGCUUCUUAACGA